rnacentral:rRNA from 1 species
AACGAACGCUGGCGGCAUGCCUAACACAUGCAAGUCGAACGAGACCUUCGGGUCUAGUGGCGCACGGGUGCGUAACGCGUGGGAAUCUGCCCUUGGGUUCGGAAUAACAGCGAGAAAUUGCUGCUAAUACCGGAUGAUGACGUAAGUCCAAAGAUUUAUCGCCCAAGGAUGAGCCCGCGUAGGAUUAGCUAGUUGGUGAGGUAAAGGCUCACCAAGGCGACGAUCCUUAGCUGGUCUGAGAGGAUGAUCAGCCACACUGGGACUGAGACACGGCCCAGACUCCUACGGGAGGCAGCAGUGGGGAAUAUUGGACAAUGGGCGAAAGCCUGAUCCAGCAAUGCCGCGUGAGUGAUGAUGGCCUUAGGGUUGUAAAGCUCUUUACCCGGGAUGAUAAUGACAGUACCGGGAGAAUAAGCUCCGGCUAACUCCGUGCCAGCAGCCGCGGUAAU